AGUGAACGCUGGCGGCGUGCUUAACACAUGCAAGUCGAACGAGAACGGAUUAUAGCUUGCUAUAAUUGUCAGCUAAGUGGCGCACGGGUGAGUAAUGUAUAGGUAAUAUGCCUUUUACUAAGGAAUAACAAAUGGAAACGUUUGCUAAUACCUUAUACUCCUUAUUAACCUAAGUUAAUAAGGGAAAGAUUUAUUGGUAAGAGAUUAGCCUGUAUUGUAUCAGUUAGUUGGUGGGGUAAUGGCUUACCAAGACUAUGACACAUAACUGGUUUGAGAGGAUGAUCAGUCACACUGGAACUGAGACACGGUCCAGACUCCUACGGGAGGCAGCAGUGGGGAAUAUUGCACAAUGGACGGAAGUCUGAUGCAGCAACGCCGCGUGGAGGAUGACACAUUUCGGUGCGUAAACUCCUUUUAUAUGAGAAGAUAAUGACGGUAUUAUAUGAAUAAGCACCGGCUAACUCCGUGCCAGCCGCCGCCGUAA
rnacentral:rRNA from 1 species